GAACGGGUGAGUAACACGUGGGAAACCUACCUCUUAGCAGGGGAUAACAUUUGGAAACAGAUGCUAAUACCGUAUAACAAUGACAACCGCAUGGUUGUUAUUUAAAAGAUGGUUCUGCUAUCACUAAGAGAUGGUCCCGCGGUGCAUUAGCUAGUUGGUAAGGUAAUGGCUUACCAAGGCGAUGAUGCAUAGCCGAGUUGAGAGACUGAUCGGCCACAAUGAGACUGAGACACGGCCCAUACUCCUACGGGAGGCAGCAGUAGGGAAUCUUCCACAAUGGGCGAAAGCCUGAUGGAGCAACGCCGCGUGUGUGAUGAAGGGUUUCGGCUCGUAAAACACUGUUGUAAGAGAAGAAUGACAUUGAGAGUAACUGUUCAAUGUGUGACGGUAUCUUACCAGAAAGGAACGGCUAAAUACGUGCCAGCAGCCGCGGUAAUACGUAUGUUCCAAGCGUUAUCCGGAUUUAUUGGGCGUAAAGCGAGCGCAGACGGUUAUUUAAGUCUGAAGUGAAAGCCCUCAGCUCAACUGAGGAAUUGCUUUGGAAACUGGAUGACUUGAGUGCAGUAGAGGAAAGUGGAACUCCAUGUGUAGCGGUGAAAUGCGUAGAUAUAUGGAAGAACACCAGUGGCGAAAGCGGCUUUCUGGACUGUAACUGACGUUGAGGCUCGAAAGUGUGGGUAGCAAACAGGAUUAGAUACCCUGGUAGUCCACACCGUAAACGAUGAGUGCUAGUGUUUGAGGGUUUCCGCCCUUAAGUGCCGCAG
rnacentral:rRNA from 1 species